rnacentral:lncRNA from 1 species
UUUUUAGCGCCAUCUGCUCGCGGCGCCGCCUCCUGCUCCUCCCGCUGCUGCUGCCGCUGCCGCCCUGAGUCACUGCCUGCGCAGCUCCGGCCGCCUGGCUCCCCAUACUAGUCGCCGAUAUUUGGAGUUCUUACAACAUGGCAGACAUUGACAAGUAAGUGGCAGAGAGUUGGUUCUUUUUCAGAGAUUUGGCAUCACUUUGUACUCUGUUCUUAACAGCAAGUAGUAUGAAUUAUAUAUUAUGAAAAUGUAGUUACUAAUGCUUAGUACCUACUUUUACAAAAGUCUAGUGCAGUGUAUUCAAGGUAAAAUAUAGAAUAUAUGAUCAUUAGCAUAUUUAUGAUCAUAUAUUCGAAACCAUCGUAUAUACUAAACCAUUUGUCACUAUUUUUAAGAAAAUGCUGAGCAUGAUAAUGGAUUAUAAAUACUUGCAGAAUUCAUUUUUAUUGUAUAUAUUUCCCAAAGAUUUACUGCUUGCAUUGUAAUGUACCAAACACCCAAAAUGUGUAUAAAAUGUAUUUAUAUAUAGAGCUUAAGGAAUAUUCAGACAAG